GACGAACGCUGGCGGCGCGCUUAACACAUGCAAGUCGAACGGAAAGGCCUGCUUUCCCUUGUGGAUUGCGGGUACUCGAGUGGCGAACGGGUGAGUAACACGUGAGUGAUCUGCCCCCAACUUGGGUAUAAGCCUGGGAAACUGGGUCUAAUUCCCGAUAGGACUGCAGGGUGGUGCCUAUGGUGGAAAACGAUUUUCUAGUGGUUGGGGAUGAGCUCGCGGCCUAUCAGCUUGUUGGUGGGGUAAUGGCCUACCAAGGCGGCGACGGGUAGCCGGCCUGAGAGGGUGGACGGCCACAUUGGGACUGAGAUACGGCCCAGACUCCUACGGGAGGCAGCAGUGGGGAAUAUUGCACAAUGGGCGGAAGCCUGAUGCAGCGACGCCGCGUGGGGGAUGACGGCCUUCGGGUGGUAAACUCCUUUCGACCGCGAGGAAGCCACCUGGUUGGAAGGGUGGUGACGGUAGUGGUAGAAGAAGCACCGGCUAACUACGUG
rnacentral:rRNA from 1 species